GAAUGGUGCUGAGAAAUCGGAAGUCAUAAUGUGUUAACCCUUUAAAACGGCUAGACGUGUUGCUGCUCUACGUUAAGUCAAGCGAUGAAUUUGAAUCAUCACUCAGUCUGACUGUCCGAGUCUUCCGAGGCGUCUGCUGUUGCACGGCCCUCGAAUUCCCAUAACGGUUUUACGGAACGGCGCUUAUUAAGGUCAUUCCCAUCAUUUGUGAAAUUGGAAGUGCUUCUGCCAGCCGAAUACGCCGUAGCACUAGCAAACAAGAACAAGAUUGCACGGUGGCAAUUACAAGUUGCGUGCAGUGCAGUUUGAUUUAAUGAAAUGGAAAAAAUUUCUAUUCCCAACUUUUAACAUAGCCGUACGUAAUCUCGUUGCGCCCAUAAAAUGCAAGAAGCUCGUGGAUUUGAUUGCGAGUUGUGACACUAUUCGAAUCGGUGAACAAUUCAAUUCAAUUCUCUGUUUUAGUAUUUGUUUCUAUCAUAAACAUACCGUAAGUAUACAAUCAAGCAUAUUAUAUCUUUCGUGUUCGUGUACCUGCACUGCAAAAAAGGCGUGAUCAAAGCAUCCCCCUAUGGUACCGUAAAUCUUUUAUUAUCAUUAUUAGGCUCUUUAAAAAAAAAUUUCUGUAAGAAAAAAAACUGGUGCUGGUGUCAAAUUCUUUUAAUCAAAUUUUUAACACAAGUUCCUUUUUCACUUGUAGACUGACGUGUGCUUCACCUUUAAUUGUAGAGCAAAUUUAUACGUACAUAAUUUCGUAAAAGGCUUCAAACUAACACAAACUCGAAAUUUCUAGACUAUAAAGUUUCAAACAAUUCGCACUUUUAUGCUAUGACCUCGUGGCAUGUUGUCGCGUAACGCUUUAAUCUAUGCAACUUCCAACAUAGUAUGCGCGUCUAUACUGAACUUGGUGCUCGUAAAUAUCCUUAUGUGCGCAUAAUGCAAGGCCAGCGUAAUAGGCUUGCUGUUUGCUCGGGCUAGGCAGCAAGGAGAAAUCUAACCUUGCCGCCAGUUACGCGAGGGAAAAAUUGUGAACUAUUUAACUAGCGCUUUUUUUUUUAAACUGACCUACAAAAAGGACAUUUCACAGGAGAAACGAGAAAAACCGCAAAAAGGGUGAGUUGGUCUGUUUAAUUUAUGGUCAUUGGAACAAGUAGACAGUAGACAGAAGAAAUCGAAAACUUCAAAGAGUAAAACGGCACGCAAUUGCCGCCCACUUUCUACAAUACUUUCGCAGUUGUUAGAUAGAGAAUUGGAUUUUUUUUCUUUGUCUUUUCAUUCACUAGCAGCAAAGCCGGUAUCCAACAUUAUAUCAUAGACUUCCAUCAAAAUUAAAUUGAAUCAAACAUAUUAUUUCCGAAAUUUGUGAGUAUGUAUUCCUUCUAAUUUGGCAAAUAAUUUAUAUUAACUGAAUGAUAUAAGAUAAUUCCACGCCUAUAUAUUUUCCUUUUUUCGAUUUAAGCAGUUGCGUCAGUAGCAGUCUCUGGCUCAGCAGCCGGAGCAGCGGCCUCUACGACGGCGGGCUCUGCGGCAACUUCGGCGACGGGCUCUGCGGCCACUUCGGCAACAGCCUCAACG
rnacentral:lncRNA from 1 species